UACGGGGGGAGCAAGCGUUGUUCGGAUUUACUGGGCGUAAAGGGCGCGUAGGCGGCGCAACAAGUCACUUGUGAAAUCUCCGGGCUUAACCCGGAGCGGUCAAGUGAUACUGUCGUGCUAGAGUGCGGAAGGGGCUACUGGAAUUCUCGGUGUAGCGGUGAAAUGCGUAGAUAUCGAGAGGGAACACCUGCGGCGAAGGCGGGUAGCUGGGCCGACACUGACGCUGAUGCGCGAAAGCCAGGGGAGCGAACGGG
rnacentral:rRNA from 1 species